rnacentral:rRNA from 1 species
GACGAACGCUGGCGGCGUGCUUAACACAUGCAAGUCGAACGGACGAGUGAGAUAAGUUUACUUAACUCACAAGUUAGUGGCGGACGGGUGAGUAACACGUGGAUAAUCUACCUGCAACACCGGGAUAACGCUGUGAAAACGGUGCUAAUACCGGAUACGUUCCCUUGUGCGCAUGUAUGAGGGAAGAAAGCUCAGGCGGUUGCAGAUGAGUCCGCGGCUGAUUAGCUAGUUGGUGAGGUAAAGGCUCACCAAGGCGAUGAUCAGUAGCCGGCCUGAGAGGGUGAACGGCCACACUGGGACUGAGACACGGCCCAGACUCCUACGGGAGGCAGCAGUGGGGAAUCUUCCGCAAUGGGCGCAAGCCUGACGGAGCAACGCCGCGUGGGUGAAGAAGGCCUCGGUUGUAAGCCUGUCUUAUGGAAGAAGUACAGUGACGGUACCACUAGGAGGAAGGCCGAACGGCGUAACUACGUGCCAGCAGCCGCGGUAAACGAGUAGUAAC